CCCAGGGUCCAGGUGCUCCUCAUCAAAAAGCAUCAGCCUAGCAAAUUGGAAAGCCAUGUUAGAUGGGUCAACUUGGGAAGAGGUAUAAAGUGGGGCCAGUCCAUGGGUUG